GUUCCGAAGAUAAGUCGGUGUAUAGGGGUCAGUCGGUAUAUCCCAACAGUUGGCCCUCCCCACUCCUGAGUCUGAUGUCGUGUUGACCCGCGUUACCACGUGGGCGAUGGCCUCGGGCGAAAGGAGUGGUUUUCUAUCACGUCAUGCUCCGACUCUGCCGAUCGUACCAACAGACGAUCCGGUGUCAGACGUCUCAUCGAAAAUGCAAACCGUCGUCGGUUAAUUAAUUUCGAGACGCGGUUUUUCCGUCACGCAUCGGGGGGCUAUUGGGCCGGAACUGUUUGCGCGGAUGGAGACGACGUGGUUCGAUCUGGGAUAGGUGCGUCGA
rnacentral:lncRNA from 1 species